rnacentral:rRNA from 1 species
UACAGAGGUCCCAAGCGUUGUUCGGAUUCAUUGGGCGUAAAGGGUGCGUAGGCGGCGCGGUAAGUCGGGUGUGAAAUCUCGGAGCUUACUCCGAAACUGCAUUUGAUACUGCCGUGCUUGAGGACUGGAGAGGAGACUGGAAUUUACGGUGUAGCGGUGAAAUGCGUAGAUAUCGUAAGGAAGACCAGUGGCGAAGGCGGGUCUCUGGACAGUUCCUGACGCUGAGGCACGAAGGCCAGGGGAGCAAACGGG